CUAGCUACAGGCUUAACACAUGCAAGUCGAGGGGCAGCAUGGUCUUAGCUUGCUAAGGCCGAUGGCGACCGGCGCACGGGUGAGUAACACGUAUCCAACCUGCCGUCUACUCUUGGACAGCCUUCUGAAAGGAAGAUUAAUACAAGAUGGCAUCAUGAGUCCGCAUGUUCACAUGAUUAAAGGUAUUCCGGUAGACGAUGGGGAUGCGUUCCAUUAGAUAGUAGGCGGGGUAACGGCCCACCUAGUCUUCGAUGGAUAGGGGUUCUGAGAGGAAGGUCCCCCACAUUGGAACUGAGACACGGUCCAAACUCCUACGGGAGGCAGCAGUGAGGAAUAUUGGUCAAUGGGCGAGAGCCUGAACCAGCCAAGUAGCGUGAAGGAUGACUGCCCUAUGGGUUGUAAACUUCUUUUAUAAAGGAAUAAAGUCGGGUAUGGAUACCCGUUUGCAUGUACUUUAUGAAUAAGGAUCGGCUAACUCCGUGCCAGCAGCCGCGGUAAUACGGAGGAUCCGAGCGUUAUCCGGAUUUAUUGGGUUUAAAGGGAGCGUAGAUGGAUGUUUAAGUCAGUUGUGAAAGUUUGCGGCUCAACCGUAAAAUUGCAGUUGAUACUGGAUAUCUUGAGUGCAGUUGAGGCAGGCGGAAUUCGUGGUGUAGCGGUGAAAUGCUUAGAUAUCACGAAGAACUCCGAUCGCGAAGGCAGCCUGCUAAGCUGCAACUGACAUUGAGGCUCGAAAGUGUGGGUAUCAAACAGGAUUAGAUACCCUGGUAGUCCACACGGUAAACGAUGAAUACUCGCUGUUUGCGAUAUACUGCAAGCGGCCAAGCGAAAGCGUUAAGUAUUCCACCUGGGGAGUACGCCGGCAACGGUGAAACUCAAAGGAAUUGACGGGGGCCCGCACAAGCGGAGGAACAUGUGGUUUAAUUCGAUGAUACGCGAGGAACCUUACCCGGGCUUAAAUUGCAGAUGAAUUACGGUGAAAGCCGUAAGCCGCAAGGCAUCUGUGAAGGUGCUGCAUGGUUGUCGUCAGCUCGUGCCGUGAGGUGUCGGCUUAAGUGCCAUAACGAGCGCAACCCUUGUUGUCAGUUACUAACAGGUUCCGCUGAGGACUCUGACAAGACUGCCAUCGUAAGAUGUGAGGAAGGUGGGGAUGACGUCAAAUCAGCACGGCCCUUACGUCCGGGGCUACACACGUGUUACAAUGGGGGGUACAGAGGGCCGCUACCACGCGAGUGGAUGCCAAUCCCCAAAACCUCUCUCAGUUCGGACUGGAGUCUGCAACCCGACUCCACGAAGCUGGAUUCGCUAGUAAUCGCGCAUCAGCCACGGCGCGGUGAAUACGUUCCCGGGCCUUGUACACACCGCCCGUCAAGCCAUGGGAGCCGGGGGUACCUGAAGUGCGUAACCGCGAGGAGCGCCCUAGGGUAAAACUGGUGACUGGGGCU
rnacentral:rRNA from 1 species